UACGGGGGGGGCAAGCGUUGUUCGGAAUUACUGGGCGUAAAGGGCUCGUAGGCGGCCAACUAAGUCAGACGUGAAAUCCCCUCGGCUUAACCGGGGAACUGCGUCUGAUACUGGAUGGCUUGAGAUUGGGAGAGGGAUGCGGAAUUCCAGGUGUAGCGGUGAAAUGCGUAGAUAUCUGGAGGAACACCGGUGGCGAAGGCGGCAUCCUGGACCAACACUGACGCUGAGGAGCGAAAGCCAGGGGAGCAAACGGG
rnacentral:rRNA from 1 species